rnacentral:rRNA from 1 species
UACGAAGGGGGCUAGCGUUGCUCGGAAUUACUGGGCGUAAAGGGCGCGUAGGCGGGUCGUUUAGUUAGAGGUGAAAGGCCCAGGGCUCAACCCUGGAAUUGCCUUUAAUACUGGCGGCCUUGAGUAUGGCAGAGGUGUGUGGAACUCCGAGUGUAAGAGGUGAAAUUCGUAGAUAUUCGGAAGAACACCAGUGGCGAAGGCGACACACUGGGCCAUUACUGACGCUGAGGAGCGAAAGCAUGGGGAGCGAACAGG